UGGGUAAUAUUGGACACUGGGCGAAAGCCUGAUCCAGCCAUGCCGCGUGUGUGAAGAAGGUCUUCGGAUUGUAAAGCACUUUAAGUGGGGAGGAAGGGCAGUAAGCGAAUACCUUGCUGUUUUUACGUUACCGACAGAAUAAGCAUCGGCUAACUCUGUGCCAGCAGCUGCUGUAUUACAGAGGGUGCAAGCGUUAAUCGGAAUUACUGGGCGUAAAGCGCGCGUAGGUGGUUCGUUAAGUUGAAUGUGAAAGCCCCGGGCUCAACCUGGGAACUGCAUCCAAAACUGGCGAGCUGGAGUAGGGCAGAGGGUGGUGGAAUUUCCUGUGUAGCGGUGAAAUGCGUAGAUAUAGGAAGGAACACCAGUGGCGAAGGCGACCACCUGGGCUCAUACUGACACUGAGGUGCGAAAGCGUGGGGAGCAAACAGG
rnacentral:rRNA from 1 species